UGAUCACGCCACUGCAUGCCAGCCUGAGUGACCGAGCAACAGAGUGAGACACCAUCUCUUACAGAAAGGAAAAAAAAAAAAAAAAAAGCGGGGGGAGGGAGAGAGAGAUACACAUUAGUCUAAAGUGGAUUUUGUUGGGUCUUCUUAUCUAAGCUGGAAAUACAUUAUGCAUAAUUCACUUUCCUGCAGCGUUCUGGAUUAGAGUCAGCCACCAGAGGCGUGCAUGCAUUACGAUUUGGAAGGCAGAAGUACACCGGCACUUAUUUUCCUGUCACACUCGAAUGCUGGUGCGAGGCACCAGGCAUACUGCGGCUGUUCAAGCAUAUUGACGCCGAUAUUCUGACUCCUUGUGGAAAUGGAGCCGCAUCCUGCCUUGCAGAGCAUCAGCCAGAUCUUGUUUUUUUACUUUCUCGGAAUCAUGCAGGCAGGGCUAGGCGUAUGUUUAGCUCUAUGGCAAGAGCCUCCAGCUUCUCCUGCAUAUCUCAAACCUCAUCAAAAGCUGGCAGCUUGGAGGUAGUGAGACACAGAGGAGAGAUCCAGUUCAUCAAGGUGAGUUCCAGUUUGUCUUUGCUAUCUUCUAAUUCGUGUCUGCCAUUCCUUCCCCACUGCUUGGCCUGCUGAUUUCAGGUCUAGUCUCAGAUGCAGACACCACAGCCAUACACACACUGUAUAACCAGUUUCCAAAAUUACCUGAGGUCAAAUCCUUGUAAUAAAUCAGUUAUUCUGCAACUCUCCCAGUUAGUGAUACUACUUCUUUAAUUACUUACUAUUUUGGGGGCAGUUAGUUAAUUAGCUCAAAAGAAAAUAUUUUAUAGACAUAAUCACACCAUUAAAAUAAACUAUAUUAAAAUAUUUCAGAUUACUUAUUUAUGAAUGGUUAAAUUCUUUGUAAGUUUAAAGUGCAAGCAAACACUUAUACAGAUAAACCAAUUAAAAUUUAAAUGUAAAAAUUAAAACUUGCGAACAUUUAAAUAUCAUAAAUACAAAUGCCAGCAACAGACCACAAAAAUAUUAGGAUCUUAUCUGACAGACAUUAAUGCUUUUAGUAUGCAAGCUCGAUUUGUAAAUUAAUACAAAAUAUGAGUAUCAUUGGCUAUACUUAUUAGGAAAAGCAAAAAUAAGUUAACCUUUAAUAAAUAUAAUUUCAUACGUUAACUUCAUUCACUCUGACAAAAUUGCAAAUUAAAAUUUUUUGCCAAUCAAUUAAGAAAGGAUUAGGGUUCGAGACAAAUGGUUUCAUUUAUUGUAGAUAAAGUAGUAGUAAAAUAUAGUCAUGUGUUGCUUAACGGCAGGGAUGUGUUCUGACAAAUGCGUCAUUAGGUGAUUUCAUCAUUUGCAACAUAACGGAGUGUACUUACACAAACCUGGAGGAUAUAAGCUUACUGCACACCUGGGCUAUAUGAUGUAGCCGAUUGCUCUAGGCUACAAACCUAUACAGCACCUUAUUGUGCUGAAGAUUGCGGGCAGUUUUAGCGCAAUGAUAAGUAUUUGUGUACUCAAAAUGUAUCUAAACAUAGUAAACAUACAGUGUAGAAGAUAAAAACUGGUAUCCCUGUAGAGAGUACUUAUUACAAAUGGAGCUUGCGGGACUGGACGUUGCUCUAGGUAAGUCAGUGAGAGAGUGGUGAGUGAAUGUGAAGGCUUAGAACAUUACUUUUCACCGCUGUAGACUGAAUUAACACUGCAUACCUAGGCUUCCCUACAUUUAUUUUUAAAAAUUCGUGUUUCACUAAUGAAUUCACCUUAGCUUACCGUAACCUGUUUACUAUGUAACUUUUAAUUUUUCUGAUCUUUUUGACUCUUUUGUAAUAACUUAGUUUAAACCAUACAUUGUACAGCUAUACAAAAAUAUUUUUCUUUAUACCCUAAUUCUGUAAGAUUUUUAAUUUUUUUUUUCACUUCUUAAAUUUUCUUAGUAAAAACUGAAACACAGACACACCUUAGCCUAAGCCGACACGGAAGCAGGAUCAUCAAUGUCCCUGUCUUCCAUCUCCACAUCUUGUCCCACUGAAAAGUCUUCAAGGGCAAUAACACCCAUGGAGCUGUCAUUUCUUGUGAUAACAAUGUCUUCUUCUGGAAUACCUCCUGAAGGACCCGCCUGAGACGUUUUCACAGUUAACCUUUUUUUUUCAACAAGUAGAAGGUGUACAUUGUGAAAUAAUGAUAAAAUAUAUAGUAUAGCUAAUACAUACAUCAGUAAUAGGCAUUUAUUAUUAUUUACCAUACAUAAUGGUAAACGUGUGAUAGUUUUAUACAACUGACAGCUCAUAGUUUUGUAUACACCAGCAUCAUCACACAUGAAUAAUGUAUCAUGUGGUAACAUGACGAUGGCUAUGAAGUCACUAGGCAAAAGGAAUUUCUCAGCCCCAUUAUAAUGUUAUGGAACCAUUGUUAGAAAGGGUCGUUCAUGAUCAACACGUCCUUAUGCUACACAUGACUGUAGUUUAACUUAACACCAGAUAUAGGAAAGAACAUGAGCAACAACUGGCCUCAAUAAAUUAACACAUUUCUAUGAUGUGCAAACCAGUGGACUCAAAAGUUAGCACGUAUAUAACAUGUCAAUGUUACCACUGUGAAGAAUGAGAGUUGGAGCCUAAAAAGCAUCUCAGAAUGGCCCUCUAUCUCCUGAUCACUGCAUUCUCACUCCAUCCAAGAUACCACUCCCCUAACUUCUAACAUCAUAGGUUAGUUUUCUCUUUUGGAUAACUUUACAUAAAUGUAAAAAACUCAUUACUGGAACAAAAGAAGAAUGAAAGAUUCUUUAUUGGGGAAAGUUGUAGGGUUCAACAAAUCACUGCUAAAUUUUGGAAGGAAGUUCAAUUAUUUUUACGUUUGUUUAGGCCAAAAUUGUCUCCUUCAUGAUUUAUGGGAGACAAUCCUGGCAAUCAUUGUAGUACAUUUAACAAUGAUUAAGUAGAUUUAAAUUUCUUUUCUCUUACAAGCACUUUUGGUUGUUUCCAAGGGUAUUGGAGGCCAACAUCCACAGGAAAUGUAUCCAUCUGUUUAAGCACACGUGCCCGGCAGCUAAACUUACAGAAUGACCACUCAGCCCCCCUCAAGAUAUGUAUGGGAUAUUUUUCUUUUCAAGAAAAAAUUCAGACUUCUAAAAUAUCUUGGUGAUCAAUUUUUUGUGUCAACUUGACUGUGCUAAGGGAUGACCAGGUAGCCUGCAAAACAUUAUUUCUGGGCUUGUCUGAGAGGGAAUUUCUGGAGGAAAUUAGUAUUUGAGUUAUUAGGCUCUAUCUGAAAGACCUGCCCUCACCAAGGUGAGUGAACAUCAUCGAACAUUAAAUAGAACAAAAAGGCAGAGGUAGGGCUCAUUUUUUCUUUUUCUUCUUGAGCUGGAAGAUCCAUCUUCUCCUGCCCUUGGACAUAACUUCUGGUUCUUGGGCCUUUGGGCUCAGGGUUUACACCAGCAGCCUCCCAUCCCCACACCUAUCUCCUGUUGGUUCUAGCAUCUUCAGCCUUGAUCUGGGCAUCAUUAGCUCCUCGGGUUCUCAGGCCUUUUAACUCAGA
rnacentral:lncRNA from 1 species